CGUAUUUCAUUGUCAGAGGUGAAAUUCUUGGAUUUAUGAAAGACGAACUACUGCGAAAGCAUUUGCCAAGGAUGUUUUCAUUAAUCAAGAACGAAAGUUGGGGGCUCGAAGACGAUUAGAUACCGUCGUAGUCUCAACCAUAAACGAUGCCGACUAGGGAUUGGCGAAUGUUUUUUUAAUGACUUCGCCAGCACCUUAUGAGAAAUCAAAGUUUUUGGGUUCCGGGGGGAGUAUGGUCGCAAGGCUGAAACUUAAAGGAAUUGACGGAAGGGCACCACCAGGCGUUAACAAAGCUGAAAGCUCUAGCGCCAGUGAGGGGGAAACCUCUUGCUAGUCAACACAAUUCGAUUGUGUUGGCAACACCUUCAAAUUGCUGGAAAAUUCUAAAGCCAUUGCAUACCAAGGUGUGAAGGAAACUUCAUGCUGGCCAGGGUAAUGACCUCGGGUAUGGUGACAACUGCAAUGGAUGACGAGAUUUUCAGUCUCUGAAAUGGACAACCAGCAGCCAAGUCCUAAACAUGAUGUAAUAUCAUGCAUGGAUGCAGUUCACAGACUAAAUGGAGGUGGGCUGUCGAAUAAAUACCGACGGCUUAAGAUAUAGUCGGCCCUUAUCGAAAGAUAACCAGUAAGAGGAAACCAUGUUUAUAGUGGUGGAGAGCUUACUGGGCAUCAGGUAGUACUUGGCAGUGUGAGCUGUCAAGGGCUCCACCAUGGUGGAGCCUCUGAUGCGGAACUAGCGGGAGCCUGCGGCUUAAUUUGACUCAACACGGGAAAACUUACCAGGUCCAGACAUAGUGAGGAUUGACAGAUUGAGAGCU
rnacentral:rRNA from 1 species